rnacentral:rRNA from 1 species
UGCCAGCAGCCGCGGUAAUACGGAGGGGGCUAGCGUUGUUCAGCUUUACUGGGUGUAAAGGGUGCGUAGGCGGCUUCGUGUGUCAGAGGUGAAAUCCAGCGGCUCGACCGUUGGACUGCCCCUGAAACUGCGGAGCUUGAGUCCGUGAGAGGAAGGCGGAAUUCCUGGUGUAACGGUGAAAUGUGCAGAUAUCAGGAAGAACACCCGUAGCGAAGGCGGCCUUCUGGUGCGGAACUGACGCUGAGGCACGAAAGCUAGGGUAUCGAACGGGAUUAGAUA